GCAUAUCAAUAAGCGGAGGAAAAGAAACCAACAGGGAUUGCCCUAGUAACGGCGAGUGAAGCGGCAACAGCUCAAAUUUGAAAUCUGGCUCUUUCAGAGUCCGAGUUGUAAUUUGCAGAGGGCGCUUUGGCUUUGGCAGCGGUCCAAGUUCCUUGGAACAGGACGUCACAGAGGGUGAGAAUCCCGUACGUGGUCGCUAGCUAUUGCCGUGUAAAGCCCCUUCGACGAGUCGAGUUGUUUGGGAAUGCAGCUCUAAAUGGGAGGUAAAUUUCUUCUAAAGCUAAAUAUUGGCCAGAGACCGAUAGCGCACAAGUAGAGUGAUCGAAAGAUGAAAAGCACUUUGGAAAGAGAGUCAAACAGCACGUGAAAUUGUUGAAAGGGAAGCGCUUGCAGCCAGACUUGCUUGCAGUUGCUCAUCCGGGCUUUUGCCCGGUGCACUCUUCUGUAGGCAGGCCAGCAUCAGUUUGGGCGGUGGGAUAAAGGUCUCUGUCACGUACCUCUCUUCGGGGAGGCCUUAUAGGGGAGACGACAUACCACCAGCCUAGACUGAGGUCCGCGCAUCUGCUAGGAUGCUGGCGUAAUGGCUGUAAGCGGCCCGUCUUGAAACACGGACCAAGGAGUCUAACAUCUAUGCGAGUGUUUGGGUGUCAAGCCCGAGCGCGUAAUGAAAGUGAACGGAGGUAGGAACCCGCAAGGGCGCACUAUCGACCGAUCCUGAAGUUUACGGAAGGAUUUGAGUAAGAGCAUGGCUGUUGGGACCCGAAAGAUGGUGAACUAUGCUUGAAUAGGGUGAAGCCAGAGGAAACUCUGGUGGAGGCUCGCAGCGGUUCUGACGUGCAAAUCGAUCGUCAAAUUUGGGCAUAGGGGCGAAAGACUAAUCGAACUAUCUAGUAGCUGGUUCCUGCCGA
rnacentral:rRNA from 1 species